AGAUAGAGGACGUUUCAGGAAACAGACAGACUAGAGGUGGAGAUAGAGGACGUUUCAGGAAACAGACAGGCUAGAGGUGGAGGUAGAGGACGCCUCAGGAAACAGACAGGCUGGAGGUGGAGGUAGAGGACGUUUCAGGAAACAGACAGGCUGGAGGUGGAGAUAGAGGACGUUUCAGGAAACAGACAGGCUAGAGGUGGAGAUAGAGGACGUUUCAGGAAACAGACAGGCUAGAGGUGGAGGUGGAGAUAGAGGACGUUUCAGGAAACAGACAGGCUAGAGGUGGAGGUAGAGGACGCCUCAGGAAACAGACAGGCUGGAGGUGGAGGUAGAGGACGUUUCAGGAGUAGUCAUGACAGCUGAGUUGAGACAGUCUAACUCUAGUUACCUUCUGAUGGUUCCACAUCAGUUUAAUCAAUAACUAUCAGUAAUCAAACCAAACAAGCACAAAAACAGAAU